UACUUAACCCAUAUAUGCCCAUAACUAGUUUUUAUAUGAAGUUGUUUUACUUUGGGAUAUGAUUAAGAUUCAGAUUCUAAGUUCAAAUAUGCAAAAAAAUCAAGUGGGUCGUUAGCGACCCUCUGGGCAUAUAUGGGUUAAAGUUGUUAAGUA